rnacentral:rRNA from 1 species
UACGAAGGGGGCUAGCGUUGCUCGGAAUUACUGGGCGUAAAGGGCGCGUAGGCGGACAGUUUAGUCAGAGGUGAAAGCCCAGGGCUCAACCUUGGAAUUGCCUUUGAUACUGGCUGUCUUGAGUUCGGGAGAGGUGAGUGGAACUGCGAGUGUAGAGGUGAAAUUCGUAGAUAUUCGCAAGAACACCAGUGGCGAAAGGCGGCUCACUGGCCCGAUACUGACGCUGAGGCACGAAAGCGUGGGAUCAAACAGG